ACCUAAUAUUAGGCUACAGAGAGUGAGGAUGUUUACCGGUGAACACUCCGCCCCCUACUCCUGUAUGCACUGCAGAUUUCAUCUGAGGCUCCCGGUGACCUGUAUGAUGUGAAUCUGUAGGAAUUUGAAAGAUUGUCCGGCUGGCUCAGAUCUGUCAAACACUUCUCCGUGGGACUUCCAGUUAACGAUUGUUUGUCCCUACCCAUCCCUUUUAUUCAUGCCAAUACAUGUGCGCACACUACGCCAUGGUGGAAUUGAGCUGAAGUUGGUGGUGUGAUGGUCUGGCUACUUGCUGUGGAAGUUGGUGGAGCAAGUAGGCACGACAACUCCAGGUUCAGGUGGAGAGGAGCAUGCCAGGGAGAAAAUCAAGUGGAAACAGUUACCACAGCUUCUUUGGCUGCAUUGAGUUCCUCUGCCAACUUCUCUGGCGGAGAAGCAUCUGGCUAUGAUAUAAUUAUAAUGUGCAACAUAAUUGCUUUUGAUCUGGUUGCUCACAAGCACUAACAUCUAUGCUCUUGAUUUACAACAAUUCAUGUUAUUUUAAGCUUGUGUAUGAAAUCAUAUACAUACUGCAUUGUUGCUUUUGGUUACUACUUGCGUCAGUGACGGUUACUCAUUCUUUCUGAUAUUGGAUCUCCAUUGUGAGGUGAGUCCAC